rnacentral:rRNA from 1 species
GAUGAACGCUGGCGGCGUGCCUAAUACAUGCAAGUCGAGCGAACAGACGAGGAUCUUGCUCCUCUGACGUUAGCGGCGGACGGGUGAGUAACACGUCGAUAACCUACCUAUAAGACUGGGAUAACUUCGGGAAACCGGAGCUAAUACCGGAUAAUAUAGUGAACCGCAUGGUUCAAGAGUGAAAGACGGUUUUGCUGUCACUUAUAGAUGGAUCCGCGCCGCAUUAGCUAGGUGGUAAGGUAACGGCUUACCAAGGCAACGAUGCGUAGCCGACGUGAUAGGGUGAUCGGCGACACUGGAACUGAGACACGGUCCAGACUCCUAAGGGAGGCAGCAGUAGGGAAUAGUGGGCAAUGGGGGAAAGCCUGAAGGAGAGAUGCCGCGUGGGUGAUGAAGGUCUUAGGAUCGUAAAACUCUGUUAUUAGGGAAGAACAAAUGUGUACGUAACUAUGCACGUCUUGACGGUACCUAAUCAGAAAGCAACGGCUAACUACGUG